rnacentral:rRNA from 1 species
UACGUAGGGGGCAAGCGUUGUCCGGAAUCAUUGGGCGUAAAGCGCGUGUAGGCGGCUCGGUAAGUCUGCUGUGAAAGUCCAGGGCUCAACCCUGGAAAGCCGGUGGAAACCGUCGAGCUAGAGUCCGGAAGAGGCGAGUGGAAUUCCUGGUGUAGCGGUGAAAUGCGCAGAUAUCAGGAGGAACACCAAUGGCGAAGGCAGCUUCUUGGUCCAUUGCUGACGCUAAGGCACGAAAGCGUGGGGAGCAAACAGG